rnacentral:rRNA from 1 species
CCUACGGGAGGCAGCAGUGAGGAAUAUUGGUCAAUGGGCGGGAGCCUGAACCAGCCAAGUCGCGUGAGGGAAGACGGUCCUAUGGAUUGUAAACCUCUUUAGGCGGGGAGCAAUGCCGGGCACGCGUGCCCGGAGGGAGAGUACCCGCAGAAUAAGCAUCGGCUAACUCCGUGCCAGCAGCCGCGGUAAUACGGAGGAGGCGAGCGUUAUCCGGAUUGAUUGGGUUAAAAGGGUGCGUAGGCGGAUUUUUAAGUCAGCGGUAAAAUGUCCGGGCUCAACCCGGGCCGGCCGUUGAAACUGGGGAUCUUGAGUGGGCGAGAAGUAUGCGGAAUGCGUGGUGUAGCGGUGAAAUGCAUAGAUAUCACGCAGAACUCCGAUUGCGAAGGCAGCAUACCGGCGCCCGACUGACGCUGAGGCACGAAAGCGUGGGGAUCGAACAGGAUUAGAUACCCCUGUAGUC